rnacentral:rRNA from 1 species
UACGUAGGGCGCAAGCGUUGUCCGGAAUUAUUGGGCGUAAAGAGCUCGUAGGCGGCUUGUCACGUCGGUUGUGAAAGCCCGGGGCUUAACCCCGGGUCUGCAGUCGAUACGGGCAGGCUAGAGUGUGGUAGGGGAGAUCGGAAUUCCUGGUGUAGCGGUGAAGUGCGCAGAUAUCAGGAGGAACACCGGUGGCGAAGGCGGAUCUCUGGGCCAUUACUGACGCUGAGGAGCGAAAGCGUGGGGAGCGAACAGG